UAAGUUGAUUCUUUUCUUUGUCAUUUAUAAUUUUAAUCUUUUUCCAUUUAAAUCCAUGUUCCCCAUUUUUCUGCAGUCUGGGAAAGUGUCCCACAUUUUUAGAGGCCAGAAAAUUGAUUUUGUGUGUGUGUGUGUGUGUGUCUGUUCCACUCUUUAAUAAUUUCAAUGCAGAUCUAAAUUUGAGUUUUGGGGUUUUUUUGUUUGGUCAAGUCUAUGCUCACCUUGCCCUGCUCUCUUCUUACACUCUAUGAAUGCUUUUUAAUUUUUGCAAUCUGCAAGACUAAGGUCAGUCCAAAUAUCCUAAUUACAAAAUAAUCUCAAUUCCCUAGAAAGCUGGUUAUGUACGAUGAAGAUCUAGAACCUUUUCCAAAUGAUUCUUUAGAAAGAAAUUCUGUUUUAAAUGCUUCCCCUUUUCGAAGUUAAGGAACAGGUAAACCUAGAGAUUUCUGUAUCCUACUUGUCUUUCUCUGAAAAGCAGUUCCUUGCUGUGAACCAUUUACACUUCUAUAGAUAACCCAUACAGAAUUAGAAAAACAUUUUGAAGGACUAUAUUUGUCUCAGCCUUGAAAUAGGUUUGAUUCUCAGACCAGAUUAGCCCAUGCUGAGACAGAAGGCAGAGGGUUGAGUUAGAGCAGGAUCUUACCCAGGCAAAGUCUAUGGAAAGCCCCAUACCUCUCAGGACCUAUAUUUUCCUACUGAAAGCCACACGUUCAAUCAGUAGUUGCCAUUGGAUCAAUAUACCCAAUGUGACCCUCCUUCCACGCGUCUUACAAGGCCCAAGGUAGGGAAUGAUUAGUUAGGCACAAGGCUUGCCUGAGGAAGGAUGGUUAAUGAUGGAGGCUUAUGGGGGAAGAAUAAGAUUUUGCUCAUCACUCCAAGAGAUGGCAGUGUGAUUACUUAUACAGAGUGUAAGUAUCAUGCAAGUUCUGUAGUGAAAGGGAUGAAUCAUGCGGGACAGAGACGGAAGGUAAGAAGUCACAGGAAUGAUACCAUUUCAGGAAAAUAGCCACUCCCAUUGUUUUGUUUUUUAAAAAUUUUAUUUAAAUUCAGUUUGCCAACAUAUAGUAUAACACCCAGUGCUCAUCCCAUCAAGUGCCCCCCCUCAGUGCCUAUCAUCCAGUCUCCCCAUCCCCCUACCCACCUCCACUUCCACAACCCUUUAUUUAUAUCCCAGAGUAAGGAGUCUCUCAUGGUUUGUCUUCCUCUCUAAUUUUUCCUCAUUCAGGUUCCCUCCUUCCCAUAAGGCCCCUUCGACUAUUUCUUAUAUUCCACAUAUGAGUGAAACCAUAUAAUUAUCUUUCUCUGAUUGACUUACUUCACUCAACAUAAUACCCUCCAGCUCCAUCCAUGUCAAAGCAAAUGGUGGGUAUUCUGAAGGCUGAGUCAUAUUCUAUUGUGUAUAUAGACCACAUCUUCUUUAUCCAUUCAUUUGUCGAAGGACAUCGUGGGUCCUUCCACAGUUUGGCUACUGUGGACAGUGAUGCUUUGAACAUUGGGGUGCAGGUAUCCCAUCAUUUCACUACCUCUGUAUCUUUGGGAUAAGUACCCAGUAAGCAACUCCCAUUUUGUGAUUGCUCUGUACUUUAUACCCAUUAUUUUGCUUACAUGUCCUAAUGCUUUCACAUGGCCAUGGGGAAGGCUGAGCAAGCAUUCAGAACUCCGGUUUGAGAAGACAGAUGGGACUAUGACCAUCCAAGCAGCAUGCCUGACAAGUUCCUAACCAGGUGGUAUCUCCAUUCUUCCAUUUGCAGAUGGGGUGACACGAACGCCUAUGGAAUGUGGUUGUCAUACAGUUGUAAAGGAUUCAUGCGGGUUGGGCAGCUGACAAUGAGCCCAGCACACUCUGUGUGCUAAACCAUUCCAAUUGCCCAGACUCAGAAAUUUCAGCUUAGCGGGUAAAAAGAUGCGUGCGACUUUAUGAGCCAAGCACAUAGGAGAGCCAUAAAGUGUUUUGGGGACUUCACCUAGGGGACAGGAACAAAGAAAGAAAUUUACUUGGGAAAAAAAAA
rnacentral:lncRNA from 1 species